rnacentral:rRNA from 1 species
GACGAACGCUGGCGGCGUGCCUAACACAUGCAAGUCGAGCGGACAGACGGUGCCUUUGUGGCAUGCUGUCGUCGGCGACGGGGGGGGUACACGUGAGUCAACUGCCCUUGACUUUUGGGUUAACUCAGGGAACUCGGGCUUAUUCCCGGUAAGCGCUUUUGCUCCCUUGAGGGAGAGGGAAAGUUUCGGCGGUUGGUGAUGGUCACGCGGGGUAUCAGCUUGUUGGAGGGGUAGUGGCUUACCAAGGCUUUGACGGGUAGCCGGCCUGAGCGGGUGACCGGCCACAAUAGGACUGCGAGACGGACCAGACUGCUACGGGAGGCAGUAGUGGGGAAUAUGGCACAAUGGGCGGAAGCCUGAGGCGGCAGCGCCGCGUGCGGGAUGACGGCCUGCGGGGGGUAAACCGCUUUCGCCUGUGACGAAGCGUGAGUGACGGUAAUGGGUAAAGAAGCACCGGCUAACUACGUG